AAGACUAUACUUUCAGGGAUCAUUUCUAUAGUGUGUUACUAGAGAAGUUUCUCUGAAUGUGUAGAGCACCAGAAACCACGAGGAGGAGAUGUAGUGUUCUUUCCUGCGCGUGAAGUUGGUUUUUGGCGUUGCAUUAGUGCAAGUACCAUUUACCGUUGAUGAUCGUUCUUCUCUUCUUCCGGGAGAGUAAGAGGGAAAGAACACAGUCUGAGUGGUU
ensembl:snoRNA